rnacentral:lncRNA from 1 species
UUUGUAAAAACAAGUGAGGCAAAAGAAAAAGAAAAAAGUGCGAGCGAGAAAAUGAAAAUGAAAAAGAAAUUGAAAGAAAAUAAAAUGAAAAUGAAAAUGAAAAUGAAAAUGAAAGAGAGUUUGAAAAGAAAUCGAGUGAGAAAAAGAAAGAGUCUGCAUAAGAAACGAGUGAAGAAAGAAAUCAAGAAAAAGCGAGGAAUAUUUCUGCUAACCCCCG